UACGUAGGGUGCAAGCGUUAAUCGGAAUUACUGGGCGUAAAGCGUGCGCAGGCGGUUUUGUAAGUCUGACGUGAAAUCCCCGGGCUCAACCUGGGAAUGGCGAUGGAAACUGACGAGCUUGAGUGUGGCAGAGGGGGGUGGAAUUCCGCGUGUAGCAGUGAAAUGCGUAGAGAUGCGGAGGAACACCGAUGGCGAAGGCAGCCCCCUGGGCUAGCACUGACGCUCAUGCACGAAAGCGUGGGGAGCAAACAGG
rnacentral:rRNA from 1 species